CCCACCGCACUGGUCGUUUCCUUCGUCCAGUAGAAAGAGAGAGGAAGGAGGUCGCCAGAUACGCCCGCCCCGCUCCAACCCUCUUCUCCUCCUCACGCACGGCACCUCCUUUCUCCUCCCUCUCCCUCUCUCUCAGACCCACUGGCGGCGGAGACUGGAGGCACAACACUGCACGCGCCGGCCGGCGAGAGGAGCUGCGCUGCCGCCGGCGCACCGACUGCGUCUACUGCCUCGCCUCCCCGUUGACCUAAAGAAGGUAUAUUCCCACAUUGAACUAAAUUAUUGCUAUAUUCGGUUGAUUCAGACAUAUUGUAUCUUCAAUGGCUUUCACUGCUGGGCAAAAUCAAGCGAUGGAAGGCCUUGUGGUUGUCGUUCCCAUGGCUGUGCCGUUCACUUUUAUGCAGGGUUUAAAGUUUGAUGUAGGAUGGGCACACAAGUUUGAUGUUUGCAGUUACAGAUUUUUGUCAAAGCCCGCUGAAACGAAGUUUAGUUCAGCAAACCAUGUAUGUUGGAAGAAAGCAAAUUUCUUGCCUUCUGAAUCCUCCGUAGCCACCAUAUUUUAUUUCAGACCGAAUUGUCCCAGCUCAGUGUAUCUCAGUGAAGUAGCGGGUUCAUGCAAGGCCUGGCCGACGGCAACGACUUUAGGGGCUGCCGUGCUCUGCAUACUUCGUCUAGGUAAAUUGUGCUAGCUUUCAGAUUAUUCAUUUUCGUUUUACCCUAUCAAAGAUCUUCUCAGAUUAGUUAACCAGGCUAUGUAAUUAUGGUGUUGUGAUUCCGAGGGCUCCGUUGGAGGAUCAGCUUUGGUUCAGACUUCAGAGGCAGGUUUUGGGCAUACCGCAGCACAAGCAGAGGCAGAUCUCAGUCAAUGCUACUGCAGUUGAUGAUGCCCUGAAGCUUUCUUCAGUAACUGACUCAGCGUGCUGCUGUUCUCUAAGGUCGUUGAGUGCUGAGAACAGGCAAUAUAAUUAGGAUUUUAACGAGAAGUUGGAGGAGAUAAAAACUUUCAGGAAGUGUUUAGGCGAGUUCCAUGCCGAAAAUAAUGUUAUGUGAGCAGAGAGUGCAGGCUUGUGCUCUUCUGUUGAAGAGCUUGAGCAUGAGAGAUUGAAUCAACACAUAAGUCAUGAGAGCAUAUCUUUAGACGAGGAGAGGCGACUGGUCAAAGAAAUUAAGACCCUUGAAAAAACCAGACCGAGGGUCAGUUCCAAGGCUGCUAAGCAAGCUAAAAUGCAAGAUAUAGUGGUUGAGAGAGAUGCCAUACAGGAUCAGGUGAAAAUCAUCAUACAUGGACUAAAGGAGGGAAAAGCAGCCAGGUCUAAGAUUAAGGUCCUGGGCGAUAAGGCGAUGGGCGUGGAGAGCUGCUACGAGCUUGCGCAGGCGGCGUACUCAACCUCGUGCUGCACACGCUCAAGCACCUGGCGGCCGUCGUCAAUGGGCUCCUCGUCCAUGAUUACCUGGACAACAUGAACCUCGAGGAGGUUGUGAAGGGGAACAUCUGUGACGCCGUUCUUUAGAUAAUAAUAAUGGUGCAAUACUGCAUAGGAGGAAGUUGUUUGGGCCUUUUACUGAUGGAUAUAUUUAUUACUUUUGAUCCUCAUCAAUAAUCUCCAGGCCUUUGGGAGUUUGCUAGCAGUCCUGGUCAGACUUGGACCAGGGACUAGAGAGUUCCUGUUCUGCGCCUUAUGCGCCCGAACACCUCGCUGGCGCACACAGCCGCACCUUGUUGGGCCGGCCCAUGAAGGAGGAUCGCAGCGAGGUCGAAAAUUGCAAAAAAGUGCUUUCCAGGAUUCGAACUCAGUUGUGAAAGUGGCAUCCCGGAAUUUAUUUGGUACUUCGGAUUACAUUGGAUAUGGUUGUGCUAACUUGACAAAACAGAGUGGCUUCAUUUGUCGCGAUUCUCAGUCUCCCACGGUCUUAGUUGCCUGAAUCGCUGGGUUUACAUGGUACUACAAAUUAGUGUAGCAGAUAGUGGUAGAUCAGAUGAGGUGCCUUUACUCGUCUGCUCCCUUGGAAAUGCAUGCAUAUCCAUGUUGACGUCUGCUAUCUUUGAUCUUUAUUCUGAACUAGAUGACCCGGUGCGUCAAAUGACGCAGAGACCCAUUUGAAACCAUGUUUAUGUUGAAAAAUAUUUGCCUUUUUAGUAACUUUAUGUUCGAUCAAGGAUAGAGACCAUGUCAAACCCGAAGUGUUUUGAACGUGUAUUUGGACAAUGUGCCAUUUGGCUCCAUGUUACCCAAGUAAGGUGCAAGGUUCAAAUUCAAGCAUCAAGGGUAAUGAUUAUAAACCUUUUGUAAGAGAAACCUUUGCAUUUGUUAGUAACUUCGAGUUUUAUCAAACACCGAGGGUAAUAAUUCUAAACCUUUUAUAUGAAAAAUUAAGGAAUACCUAUGUUCAAACUAUAUACUUUAGCAUGUGAAACUAAUUCAAACCGUGCAAGUUGAAAUAUUUAGAGACCGAUCAUAAAACUGCCGGCUCCACUCUACUGCGACGCGAGGGUCGGCUUGCUGCACCUUCCCCACAUCCGUCCUCCUCACGCACAGCACCACAGUGACACCAACGCUGCCUUGUUGCACCUUCCCCAUGUCCGUCCUCCUCACGCACAGCAACACCGGAUCCGGUGGAUGCCGUCAUAGAGGAGCUUUCCACCGGCAGAAUGGCAAGGAUGGCCGCAUGUGAGGACGGGGUAGAGGCGCAGAUUAUAAUGUAGCACAACAAACAAUGCCCAGAUUAUAUUAGCCAUCAAAGAUACUUGACUUCAAAACUUAUUUUCAAAAACACCUCCCCAAAUAGUUAUUCUUUUGCAGAGAGAUUGGGCAAGCGCUACUUGUUACGUGCCUGCUAGAUAUUACACAAGAUGUAUUUCAUUAAGGUCUGCUGACCAAUUAAUUUUAUUAUUCUUAUGAGAUGUUGUGGUUGCCUGAAUUGUUUUUCAAUAUACUGAAGCUUAAUUACUUUCCCUAGAUCAGUUGUGAAAGUGGCAUCCCGGAAUUUAUUUGGUACUUCGGAUUACAUUGGAUAUGGUUGUGCUAACUUGACAAAACAGAGUGGCUUCAUUUGUCGCGAUUCUCAGUCUCCCACGGUCUUAGUUGCCUGAAUCGCUGGGUUUACAUGGUACUACAAAUUAGUGUAGCAGAUAGUGGUAGAUCAGAUGAGGUGCCUUUACUCGUCUGCUCCCUUGGAAAUGCAUGCAUAUCCAUGUUGACGUCUGCUAUCUUUGAUCUUUAUUCUGAACUAGAUGACCCGGUGCGUCAAAUGACGCAGAGACCCAUUUGAAACCAUGUUUAUGUUGAAAAAUAUUUGCCUUUUUAGUAACUUUAUGUUCGAUCAAGGAUAGAGACCAUGUCAAACCCGAAGUGUUUUGAACGUGUAUUUGGACAAUGUGCCAUUUGGCUCCAUGUUACCCAAGUAAGGUGCAAGGUUCAAAUUCAAGCAUCAAGGGUAAUGAUUAUAAACCUUUUGUAAGAGAAACCUUUGCAUUUGUUAGUAACUUCGAGUUUUAUCAAGCACCGAGGGUAAUAAUUCUAAACCUUUUAUAUGAAAAAUUAAGGAAUACCUAUGUUCAAACUAUAUACUUUAGCAUGUGAAACUAAUUCAAACCGUGCAAGUUGAAAUAUUUAGAGACCGAUCAUAAAACUGCCGGCUCCACUCUACUGCGACGCGAGGGUCGGCUUGCUGCACCUUCCCCACAUCCGUCCUCCUCACGCACAGCACCACAGUGACACCAACGCUGCCUUGUUGCACCUUCCCCAUGUCCGUCCUCCUCACGCACAGCAACACCGGAUCCGGUGGAUGCCGUCAUAGAGGAGCUUUCCACCGGCAGAAUGGCAAGGAUGGCCGCAUGUGAGGACGGGGUAGAGGCGCAGCUCGGGGCCAGGGACCCCGCCGGCGUGGGCGAUGGGUCCGCUCGCUUGCGCCGGAGCUCGCCCUCGCCCACCGUCGUGCGGUGCGGCUGCGACUCCAGCUCCUCCUGUUGAGCGCGGAGGCAGAGGGAGGGGACGAGGAGACGUGGGAGGAGGAGAGGCAGGGAGGAGGAGGUGGUGGAGGCGGAGGAGAUGAGGCGGCCGAGAGGGAGGAGGAGCGGAGGCGGCGGCGGCGGCAGGAGAUAUUUUCAUGGAGAGAAGGGCUAGCCAAUCCCGCUCGCUGCAGUCCACCCCAAACCAUGAUCACCCCUGCCCACCCCGCGAUCGCCUUUGCGGCGCUGCGCAACACAAGCACGCACUGAUGCUCUCACCGUAGGCUGGGACCGCGCGCAAAGGCUGGCCCAGCUAUCAUUCUCUAUGGUUGAAACACCGUGGUUGAAACACGCAACGUAAAAACAAACCAACGUCGGGAUGUUUGACAGCGAGAUAGAAAGUACAAAUCAGGUACUAAGCAAGACACAACGGCCGGACCAGAUUCAUCGCCGAGCUGAAUUGCCCUGGCUUUGCGGGUAGCCUAGAAGGGUUUAUAUGUUCGAUGGAAACACUAAGCCACCUAACCCAUGUUGGCGCAAUUGACUCCAUUGCACCUUCUUUCUUGCCAUCACUUGGAACCAGCCACCAGGUCCUUCAACUUCUCUUUAUGGGGGAAUAAGAAAAGGACAAAAAAUCAACAGCCCGGUCAAUAUAAUAGGCUAAUUGGCCAGAAGGUAUUUUAAAAUUUUGAAUUGUCUACAUUAGUAUUUCUUAGACACCAUAUAGGAGAUGAGAGAACAGAAAAAAAAUUGUUAAAUGAAUGAAAACUAUGUACCUUAGCUAUCUAAGGCUUAUGAAAACUGUAAUCUUGAAAGA